rnacentral:snRNA from 1 species
CCAGCCUGGAUAUAGCCA